UACAGAGGUCUCAAGCGUUGUUCGGAUUCAUUGGGCGUAAAGGGCGCGUAGGCGGCGGGGUCAGUCGGGUGUGAAAUCUUGGGGCUUAACCCCGAAACGGCACUCGAAACUGCCCGGCUGGAGGGCCGGAGAGGAGAUCGGAAUUCACGGUGUAGCAGUGAAAUGCGUAGAGAUCGUAAGGAAGACCAGUGGCGAAGGCGGGUCUCUGGACAGUUCCUGACACUGAGGCACGAAGGCCAGGGGAGCAAACGGG
rnacentral:rRNA from 1 species